GCCGGGCGUGGUGGCGCACGCCUUUAAUCCCAGCACUUGGGAGGCAGAGGCAGGUGGAUUUCUGAGUUCGAGGCCAGCCUGGUCUACAGAGUGAGUUCCAGGACGGCCAGGGCUACACAGAGAAACCCUGUCUCAAAAAAAACAAAAAAACAAAAAAACAAACAAAAAAACAAAAAGAAAAACAAGAUAUUGACAGUUUCUCUGUAUAGCCCUGGCUUUCUGGAACUCACUUUGUAAACCAGGCUGGCUUUGAACUCAGAAAUCCACCUGCCUCU
rnacentral:SRP_RNA from 1 species